UAACCACGCUCAGAGCACUCCUGAGAUAGU
rnacentral:piRNA from 1 species